GAGUUUGAUCCUGGCUCAGGACGAACGCUGGCGGCGCGCCUAACACAUGCAAGUCGAACGAGCGAGAGAGAGCUUGCUUUCUCGAGCGAGUGGCGAACGGGUGAGUAACGCGUGAGGAACCUGCCUCAAAGAGGGGGACAACAGUUGGAAACGACUGCUAAUACCGCAUAAGCCCACGGGUCGGCAUCGACCAGAGGGAAAAGGAGCAAUCCGCUUUGAGAUGGCCUCGCGUCCGAUUAGCUAGUUGGUGAGGUAACGGCCCACCAAGGCAACGAUCGGUAGCCGGACUGAGAGGUUGAACGGCCACAUUGGGACUGAGACACGGCCCAGACUCCUACGGGAGGCAGCAGUGGGGAAUAUUGCACAAUGGGGGAAACCCUGAUGCAGCGACGCCGCGCGAGUGAGGAAGUAUUUCGGUAUGUAAAGCUCUAUCAGCAGGGAAGAAGAAAUGACGGUACCUGACUAAGAAGCCCCGGCUAACUACGUGCCAGCCGCCGCGGUAAUAC
rnacentral:rRNA from 1 species